GGGUCUAUAGCUCAACGGCAGAGCAGUAGCCUUUUAAGCUAUUGGUUGAGGGUUCGAAUCCCUCUGGACCCA
rfam:Microgenomates bacterium GW2011_GWA1_48_10 TY21_C0029, whole genome shotgun sequence.